rnacentral:rRNA from 1 species
AUUGAACGCUGGCGGCAGGCCUAACACAUGCAAGUCGAACGAGUGGCGGACGGGUGAGUAAUGUCUGGGAAACUGCCAGAUGGAUGGUGAUAACUACUGGAAACGGUAGCUAAUACCGCAUACCAUCGGAUGUGCCCAGAUGGGAUUAGCUAGUAGGUGGGGUAAAGGCUCGCCUAGGCGACGAUCCCUCGCUGGUCUGAGAGGAUGACCAGCCACACUGGAACUGAGACACGGUCCAGACGCCUACGGGAGUCAGCAGUUGGGAAUAUUGCACAAUGGGCGCAAGCCUGAUGCAGCCAUGCCGCUUGUAUGAAGAAGGCCUUAGGGUUGUAAAGUACUUUCAGCGGGGAGGCGUUACCCGCAGAAGAAGCACCGGCUAACUCCGUGCCAGCAGCCGCGGUAAUAC